rnacentral:rRNA from 1 species
UCCAGACUCCUACGGGAGGCAGCAGUGGGGAAUAUUGCACAAUGGGGGAAACCCUGAUGCAGCGACGCCGCGUGAGCGAUGAAGUAUUUCGGUAUGUAAAGCUCUAUCAGCAGGGAAGAAGAUGACGGUACCUGACUAAGAAGCCCCGGCUAACUACGUGCCAGCAGCCGCGGUAAUACGUAGGGGGCAAGCGUUAUCCGGAUUCACUGGGUAUAAAGGGAGCGUAGACGGCCAUGCAAGCCUGGAGUGAAAGCCCGGGGCCCAACCCCGGGACUGCUCUGGGAACUGUGCGGCUGGAGUGCGGGAGGGGCAGGCGGAAUUCCUGGUGUAGCGGUGAAAUGCGUAGAUAUCAGGAGGAACACCGGCGGCGAAGGCGGCCUGCUGGACCGCGACUGACGUUGAGGCUCGAAAGCGUGGGGAGCAAACAGGAUUAGAUACCCGAGUA